UACGUAGGUGGCAAGCGUUGUCCGGAUUUACUGGGCGUAAAGAGCGCGCAGGCGGUUGUUUAAGUCGAAUGUGAAAGCCCCCCGGCUCAACUGGGGAGGGUCAUUCGAUACUGAUCGACUUGAAGGCAGGAGAGGGAAGUGGAAUUCCGGGUGUAGUGGUGAAAUGCGUAGAUAUCAGGAGGAACACCGGUGGUGUAGACGGCUUUCUGGACCGUAACUGACGCUGAGACACGAAAGCGUGGGUAGCAAACAGG
rnacentral:rRNA from 1 species